rnacentral:rRNA from 1 species
UCAGCCGCCGCGGUAAAACCAGCACCUCGAGUGGUCAGGAGGUUUAUUGGGCCUAAAGCAUCCGUAGCCGGUUGCAUAAGUUUUCGGUUAAAUCUAUGCGCUUAACGUAUAGGCCGCCGAAAAUACUGUGCAGCUAGGGAGUGGGAGAGGUACACGGUACUCGAUAGGAAGGGGUAAAAUCCUUUGAUCUAUUGAUGACCACCUGUGGCGAAGGCGGUGUACCAGAACACGUUCGACGGUGAGGGAUGAAAGCUGGGGGAGCAAACCGGAUUAGAUACCCGGGUAGUCCCAGCUGUAAACGAUGCAGACUCGGUGAUGCAUUGGCUUGUGGCCAAUGCAGUGCCGCAGGGAAGCCGUUAAGUCUGCCGCCUGGGAAGUACGUACGCAAGUAUGAAACUUAAAGGAAUUGGCGGGGGAGCACA